rnacentral:rRNA from 1 species
GACGAACGCUGGCGGCGUGCUUAACACAUGCAAGUCGAACGGAAAGGCCCUGCUUUUGUGGGGUGCUCGAGUGGCGAACGGGUGAGUAACACGUGAGUAACCUGCCCUUGACUUUGGGAUAACUUCAGGAAACUGGGGCUAAUACCGGAUAGGAGCUCCUGCUGCAUGGUGGGGGUUGGAAAGUUUCGGCGGUUGGGGAUGGACUCGCGGCUUAUCAGCUUGUUGGUGUGGUAGUGGCUUACCAAGGCUUUGACGGGUAGCCGGCCUGAGAGGGUGACCGGCCACAUUGGGACUGAGAUACGGCCCAGACUCCUACGGGAGGCAGCAGUGGGGAAUAUUGCACAAUGGGCGGAAGCCUGAUGCAGCAACGCCGCGGGCGGGAUGACGGCCUUCGGGUUGUAAACCGCUUUCGCCUGUGACGAAGCGUGAGUGACGGUAAUGGGUAAAGAAGCACCGGCUAACUACGUG